UAUCAGUUUACGCUUAGCUGUGGUAUAUAAGCGAAAAUGGGAACUUUACUAGGUUUAAGAAUUAUUUCCUUAUUUUAUUUUAUACCUUUACUUAUAAAAUGUUACGGUAACGAUAUAUUAGGAUGUGGUGGAUUUGUGAAAAGUCACGUUAAUUUGGAUUUCUCUAAAAUCGAAAUCGGAUUGUAUACCAAAGAAGGUAGUCUAAAAGAGAAGACAGAAUGCGCCCCAAACAACGGGUACUAUUUUCUCCCGCUCUACGAAAAGGGCGAAUACGUGUUAAAGGUCCACCCUCCACCAGGCUGGAGCUUCGAGCCCUCAGAAGUAAACUUAAACGUUGAUGGUGUUACGGACCAGUGUUCUACCGGCCAGGAUGUAAACUUUUCGUUUAACGGUUUUGGUAUUACUGGUCUAGUGAUCACGGCAGGGCAGAAGCAAGGGCCUGCGGGUAUAGCGGUGCAGCUGGUUAAUGAUAAUGGUGAAGUGAGGAACACGGUGACCUCUGCGGGUGGGGAGUUCCACUUUACUCCGGUGAUUCCUGGGAAAUACACUGUGAAGGCAUCUCAUCCAAGAUGGAAGCUAGAGCCAUCUUCAGCAGUAGUCCAAGUGAAGGAAGGCAACACAGCCCUGCCGACAGGAGUGCUGGCCGUCAAAGGUUACGAUGUGAAGGGCUCUGUCACUUCUAACGGCAACGCUAUUACUGGGCUCUAUGUGCUGCUGUAUUCUAAAGAGGAAAGCCCCAAACUUCGCGUGGAAGGCUGCAAGACGGCCCUCCUGCAGGGUGUCCCCGGUUCCCCAAUCUGCCACUCUGUAACGGACAACAACGGGGAGUUCACAUUCGGUUUGGUGCCAGCGGGUGAAUACAAGUUGCUGGCGCUGGCCAAGAACCCGGGACAGGCGACUGUUAGCUAUAAUGUGAAGCCGGAGAGUGUGCCGUUCACUGUGUUACAUGAUAGCUUGUAUAUUAAGAAUGCUUUUGAGGUGACCGGUUUCACAGUAAUGUCGUCAGUAGUGUCCACCGCUGGUGCUGGUUUACCCAACGCACGCGUGUCGUUGGAUGGCAAAGCGGUCGGAAAGACGGACGGCACUGGAAAAUAUACCUUGCCAUCUCUGCAAAGUGGGACUUACACGAUCAGCGUGGAACAUGACCAAGCCCAGUUCGAUGAUAUCCAGCUAACCAUAACCCCAACCGGCUCGGUCCGCAUCCCUGAAGCGCGCGUGACGCGCUGGCGCGUGUGCGGCACUGUCACUCCGCCCGCCGCACGACAUGUGGUCGUUCGCGAUAGCCGGAUACCCGUUGACGACCAAGGUAAAUGGUGCACGUUCCUGCCACCUGGCGUGUACACGGCGAGAGUCGACGUUUCCGAGCAGGAACAACGGGAUGGAUUGCAAUACUACCCCCUAUCACACAAAAUCACCGUAGCGCACUCAUCCGUAUCAGACAUAGCGUUCUCCCAACUGAAAGCACUCGUAUCCGGCACGGUCCGGUGCCAGACCGGCGCCUCGGAGUUGCCUGUGACUCUUCGGACGUUAGCGCCGGACGGUAGCGUUGUGGGCAAUCCUCUUACUACUACUGCAAAAGAUGGCAAAUACACCUUCAAAGACGUACUACCCGGUAGCGUAGAGUUAUCAGUACCAUCCGAUAGACUUUGCUGGGCCGAAAGCGUUCACAACAUCGUGGUAACGCAGGAGACAGCAACAGUCCCGGACUUUGUACAGACCGGACAUGUUUUGAGGGCUACUAGUUCGCAUAAGAUUGAGGUGGAUUACAUAAGCGACGAUGGUUCAGAAAAGGGCACUUUAACCCUUCCGGCGGGUGCGAGCUCGCACUGCGUGGGGCGCGGGCUGCCGCGCCGGUACACGCUCACGCCGCGCGGCUGCCACCAGCUUAACCCGCCCACUGCCCAAGCCGACACCGCCGCUGAACACCAACAGCCAAUAAUCUUCAUCGCCGUAGCCCACUCGGUGGUCCUCCGCGUGACCUCCCCUGAACCUGUCAAAGACCUGGUGCUGAAGAUCGGAGCUGAUGGCCUCGGACCUCGCGCCGUCGGACCUCUGAAACCCCAACCCAGGGCUGGAGGUGGAUAUGUCUUCGAACACGAACUGUUCAUGAAAGAGGGCGAAGUAGCAGUAGUAUCAGCCGAGUCCUCGACUCUCCUCUUCAGUCCGUCUGAGCCUCAGCAGGUGAUCGGUUCGUCUGACUGUCAACCACAGGCGUUGACCAUCCGCGCCGUCAAGGGCCUGUCUUUGGCUGGUCGUAUCAUACCCCCUGUUGCUGGGGUUACUGUCACUUUGACCUCAGAUGACCUCGAGCUAACCCAGACCACAACGACCACCGGCACAUACAGCUUCGGUCCCCUGGACGCGAGCAAAAAAUACACCAUCACCUGCUCCAAGGAAUCGUACGUGUUCGACGGGCCUAACGACGCAGGGGAUGUGCGCGCGCACAAGCUGGCCGAGAUUAUAGUGGAACUGGUCGAUGACGCUGAUGGGAAGCCUUUACAGGGCGCCCUAGUCUCCGUAAGCGGCGGCUCGUACCGCCGUAACCUGGUCUCUGGUGCCUCAGGUUCGCUUCGGUUCAGCUCCCUAGCGCCGGCGGAGUACUACGCCAAGCCUCUCAUGAAGGAAUACAAAUUCAGUCCGCCGCAUGAGAUACUUACUGUGCAGGAGGGGCGCGAACACAAGCUGACACUCAGAGGGGUCCGCGUGGCAUGGUCGUGUGUCGGCCAUCUUCUGUCUCUCGGCGGUGUGGGCUGGGCCGGGGCCACUGUGGUAGCCAAGGCGUCAGGAAAGUGUGCCAGUGAAGAAGCCACUACUGAAGCUAAUGGAGCCUUCAGAAUACGCGGCCUACUGCCCGGCUGUGUGUACACGCUACAACUCAAGGACUCGACUACACCAGAGCUGGCUGGACUGAAGCUAGUCAAAGCGCCGUCUUCCAUACAAGUGAAAAACAACCAAGACAUCACCGACGUCCAACUCAUCGCUAUCCAACCACAGCAGAUAACGGACACCAAUGUGCUAGUCUACACUCCCAACAUAGACCAUUAUAAGACCCUCCGUCUCACUUUAGCACUAGAGUCUACCCCGGAUACUCCUAUAUACUCCACCAAACUUGACAGUGCCGGAUACAGUCAGACUCUAAACCCAGGUAUUUAUUUACAUCCAACCACAAGAGUUAACGGACACCAAUGUGCUAGUCUACACUCCCAACAUAGACCAUUAUAAGACCCGCCGUCUCACUUUAGCACUAGAGUCUACUCCGGACACUCCUAUAUACUCCACCAAACUUGACAGUGCCGGAUACAGUCAGACUCUAAACCCAGGUCUGAUGUACGUGCUGCCGCGUUUGCCAGCCGAUAAUAAGACUUACAUCGUGCAGUUAGAGUCCACUUUGUCUAAAGCGACGCACAGCUACGAGGAGGUGGUUGGUUACUUCAACUCGGAUGGACAGUUCAAGCAUUUCGAUUUCGAGUUUUUGCCUAAAGUAAAAUCCUCUGAACAAGAACUCCGCCAAACCUCCCUCCUAGUCGUACCCCUAUUCCUCCUCCUAGCGCUCGCCUACCACCAACGAGCCAGUCUACUGGCGCAAGUCACUGCCCUGGCGAGUCAACGGGCCGCGCCUACUCGGCCUACUAGAGCUAGGCCCGAUGUACUUGAUCAUGCCAGUAUAGAUCAGAUUGUUAGUAGUGUUAAUGCUGCUGGGAAAAAGAAAAAACAGUGAG